rnacentral:rRNA from 1 species
UGCAAGUCGAGCGGUAGAGAGAAGCUUGCUUCUCUUGAGAGCGGCGGACGGGUGAGUAAUGCCUAGGAAUCUGCCUGGUAGUGGGGGAUAACGUUCGGAAACGGACGCUAAUACCGCAUACGUCCUACGGGAGAAAGCAGGGGACCUUCGGGCCUUGCGCUAUCAGAUGAGCCUAGGUCGGAUUAGCUAGUUGGUGAGGUAAUGGCUCACCAAGGCGACGAUCCGUAACUGGUCUGAGAGGAUGAUCAGUCACACUGGAACUGAGACACGGUCCAGACUCCUACGGGAGGCAGCAGUGGGGAAUAUUGGACAAUGGGCGAAAGCCUGAUCCAGCCAUGCCGCGUGUGUGAAGAAGGUCUUCGGAUUGUAAAGCACUUUAAGUUGGGAGGAAGGGUUGUAGAUUAAUACUCUGCAAUUUUGACGUUACCGACAGAAUAAGCACCGGCUAACUCUGUGCCAGCAGCCGCGGUAAUACAGAGGGUGCAAGCGUUAAUCGGAAUUACUGGGCGUAAAGCGCGCGUAGGUGGUUUGUUAAGUUGGAUGUGAAAUCCCCGGGCUCAACCUGGGAACUGCAUUCAAAACUGACUGACUAGAGUAUGGUAGAGGGUGGUGGAAUUUCCUGUGUAGCGGUGAAAUGCGUAGAUAUAGGAAGGAACACCAGUGGCGAAGGCGACCACCUGGACUAAUACUGACACUGAGGUGCGAAAGCGUGGGGAGCAAACAGGAUUAGAUACCCUGGUAGUCCACGCCGU